UUUAGCGGCCCAGUCCGCAAUAAAAUUUGCCUCCCUUCUACAGUGUUGGAUCCGAAUAUGAGGAAAACACUCUAACAAAGCAACACAUUCGGACAAGAGAGCUCUGACCUCUCAAGGUGUCUGACAGGGACUGUGCAAGGCAUUGACCAAAGGAGGAAGCCGCACGGACAAAAGAAGAGAAUCCAUCAACAAGCCUUCCCUGGUGAUCACGACACACGCAAGCUACUACUCCUUCUUCCCUUCCCGGUGUGUAGGCUCCAUCAAUAUUUAUUUUAAGAUUCCCGAGCGUCGGUGGACACCAAAUCUGGGAUGAGCUGGUUGGGUUUUGGAGGGUUUUCGCGUUGUGCAGGCCCCAAGUGCUAAUGAUUCUCGAACUUGCAAGAGCAGUUUCCACAGUAAAAGCCGGAUCUGGGCGUUGUUUUCUGAAUACGAAAUGGUUCCGCGCCUUCCAUAUCUGCCAAAGGACCGAGGCUAUGACUUCCAGAUCAAGAAAAGGUGUUCGAUUGUCUCUGGGACUUCUUCAUUGCACAAUGUGCAAAACGGAUCUGAGCGAGGCCAAUCGAGCAUUUCCUUCCUCAGUUUCUUCCAUGGUGACUAGAAGAGAGAUGCUUUAGUAACAGGAACCCUAGGGGAAGAAAUUGCGUACUGCUGCAUGUAAAAAUCAGAUUAAGGAGAGUGGGAAAGAGGCCUCUGGACCCGAUGGAGCAUUGAAGGGAAAUCAGAUUUCAUGGGUAGGGUUUAUGAAAA